CCUUGCUAACUCCUGGAAAUCUCCCUUUUCAAAAAAUUGAGAUUAAAUUCGCACAACGUAGAACCAUGAACUGUUUUGAGGCGUACACUUCCGCGGCAUUUAUCACAUUCACAAGGUUGUGUGACUGUCACCUCUGGUGAGUUCUAAGAUCUUGCAUCACCCCAAAAGGAAGGUCCAUGCCGAGAGAAGCGAGGGGGCGGACCAGGUGCCCAAGGUAUUUUCCACGUGCCUGUCUCCCCAGCUCUGCGCCUCUUCGAAGUCAGAGCCUGCGGCCGCGCAGCAUCUGAGCUUCUCCUGCAGAGCCGGGAACCACAGAAGGUCCAGGGAAGCGGUGGAGGAGAGAGAUGAGCCCCAGACCACAGCGUGAAGAUGGCAGGAAGUGUGUGAGCUGCUCUCAGGAGGCCUCUGGAGGGAGGAGGGGGACUUUGAUAUUUUCUGAGGGCUCAUCUUGCCCUCUGUGUCCUCAGGAUGUGAGGCUGUUCAGUUGUCAACUAGUCUGGUGCAGAAGACCAAGCUGGAAUUCAGAACCCUGAGAAUCUCCGGCUGCCACUGUCUUGCUGUGUGUCUUGGGGCAAGUUGCUGACCCUCUCUGUGCUUGAUAGUAAAUGGAGA